rfam:Gossypium arboreum cultivar AKA8401 contig_37942_1, whole genome shotgun sequence.
AUGCCGUGAUAAAGGCACUUUUGUAAUAGCUCCUUAAACCGCUCUCAUGCCUCAUAUAAAGAUUCUUCAUCAAGUUGCUGAAAUGAAGUGAUUUCGUUUCGAAUCUU